CCGUACCAUCCCAAGUACAACAACAAUGAACAAAAGUAGAGCAAUAUUUCCCCUAGACUAUUCAAGUACAACAACAAUGAACAAAAGUAGAGCAACAUUUCCCCUAGACUAACUACAUUAACUAGUCUAAAUUACAAAGAUUUUCCUAGAAACUUGGUUCAGUCCCUCAACAGGAGCAAGAACCACAACAAAGCCAUAUAAUUAAGGCCACCAGUAGAACAAUAAACAUUAUUGUGUUCCUCUAUUUUUUUGCUCGAUCUCUUUCUUGAUCAAAUGCCUGCACUCUCUUCAACAAACCCCAUAUAACUCUAUUCGCAUGCUCAGGAAACUCGUCCUCAAACCAUCUAAAAUAUUUACAUCCCCCGUUGUCCUUCAAAAAAUAAAAAAAAUCAAGUGAUAUAAAUCAAUGGAAAAUAAAAUCGUAUAAAGAAGUUUUUGUGGAAUACACUUACUUUGCCAAUUUUGCAUACAAAGUACCUUCUUCAUGGGUUAGCAACACUCCAUGAAAUUUUCAGUUCACAUGGACUACUACAUUGACACCAGUCAACACUUUGGUUGUUCUGGGACAUUAUUCGAACAAAAAUUAAGAGAAGUAGCAUGGAAGAUUACGUCAAAAAUUCGACUAAGAGGAUGGAGUUCUUUCAAAUUGAAAAAAAAAGCUCCGAUUUUCACUUCUUGAUGAAGAAUUUAGCUCUGUUGAAUUGGAGAGAAAUUAGGACUUGGGAGAAGAUAACAGUGG
rnacentral:lncRNA from 1 species